UACGUAGGGUGCGAGCGUUAAUCGGAAUUACUGGGCGUAAAGCGUGCGCUGGCGGUCUGUUAAGACCGAUGUGAAAUCCCCGGGCUUAACCUGGGAACUGCAUUGGUGACUGGCAGGCUUUGAGUGUGGCAGAGGGAGGUAGAAUUCCACGUGUAGCAGUGAAAUGCGUAGAGAUGUGGAGGAAUACCGAUGGCGAAGGCAGCCUCCUGGGCCAACACUGACGCUCAUGCACGAAAGCGUGGGGAGCAAACAGG
rnacentral:rRNA from 1 species